CCUACGGGAGGCAGCAGUGGGGGAUAUUGCACAAUGGGGGGAACCCUGAUGCAGCGACGCCGCGUGAGUGAAGAAGUAAUUCGUUAUGUAAAGCUCUAUCAGCCGGGAAGAAUAAAUGACGGUACCUGAGUAAGAAGCCCCGGCUAACUACGUGCCAGCAGCCGCGGUAAUACGUAGGGGGCAGGCGUUAUCCGGAUUUACUGGGUGGAAAGGGAUCGUUGACGGGGAUGCAAGCCAGAUGUGAAAGCCCGGGGCUCAACUGCGGUAGCGCAUUUGGAACUGGAUGGCUGGAGUGCAGGAGAGGCAGGCGGAAUGCCUGGUGUAGCGGUGAAAUGCGUAGAUAUUAGGAAGAACACCAGUGGCGAAGGCGGCCUGCUGGA
rnacentral:rRNA from 1 species